rnacentral:misc_RNA from 1 species
AAAAGUACCGAGGGUGUCGUUAGUUCGAUGCCCGGGUUAGUACACCGAGGCCCCUCACCGGGCUUAUGACGUGUGAAACUAUUUGUUGAAACACUUAUUUUAUGCUUCGGCUGCGCCUUCCGCUUAACCGCGGAGGGGUAGGUCGGCCAGAGGCAAAUAUCAAAACUAGUUGAUGAAAUGUCAUGCUGUCUGAUACUGUUUAGUAUUUGAGAAAUCGAAUAUCUAUUA